rnacentral:rRNA from 1 species
GAUGAACGCUGGCGGCGUGCCUAAUACAUGCAAGUCGAGCGAACAGAUGAGGAGCUUGCUCCUCUGACGUUAGCGGCGGACGGGUGAGUAACACGUGGAUAACCUACCUCUAAGACUGGGAUAACUUCGGGAAACCGGAGCUAAUACCGGAUAAUAUAUUGAACCGCAUGGUUCAAUAGUGAAAGACGGUUUUGCUGUCACUUAUAGAUGGAUCCGCGCCGCAUUAGCUAGUUGGUAAGGUAACGGCUUACCAAGGCAACGAUGCGUAGCCGACCUGAGAGGGUGAUCGGCCACACUGGAACUGAGACACGGUCCAGACUCCUACGGGAGGCAGCAGUAGGGAAUCUUCCGCAAUGGGCGAAAGCCUGACGGAGCAACGCCGCGUGAGUGAUGAAGGUCUUCGGAUCGUAGAACUCUGUUAUUAGGGAAGAACAAAUGUGUAAGUAACUAUGCACGUAUUGACGGUACCUAAUCAGAAAGCCACGGCUAACUACGUG